AUCAGCAGUAUCGUAGCCAAUGAGGUUUAUCCGAGGCGUGAUUAUUGCUAAUUGAAAACUUUCUUUAAAAGUUUACUUAUUUAUUUUUAAACAAUCUCUACAUCCAGUGUGGAGCUUGAACUCACAAUCCCAAGAU